GGUUCGCGAACCAGCACGGGGACGGGAGAGGAGGCCUGCCUCAAUUUGGACGAACCCUAAGACUUAAGAAGUCCGUACAGCGUUAAAGCUGAAGCACCAUGAAAUGCAGAAAUUUCUGGUCCGGAUAGCUCAGCUGAUUAUUUUCAGGUUGCUACAAUUUGUCAUGGAUGGGCUGGAUCCUAUGACCCUGAGACCAUGACCUGAGCUGAAACCAAGAGUCAAG